ensembl:lncRNA
UCUGUGCCAAUCUUCCUCUAUUUUAUUUGGGAUGCUGCUGCAGCGUGGCUUGAUGAGUGCUGCUGGGUCCGUGCCCAGGAUCCCGCGAACCCCAGGCUGCUGAAGUGGAGCACGUGAACUUAAUUAAGCACUACGCCACUGGGCCAGCUCCCAGGUUGAGAAGGAACGCACAUAAUUGACUCCGGCCGCCAGGAUGAGCCUGCUAGUCUGCUGGCAUGAGAAAUCCAGAGUGACAGAGCAGCAGCCAUACUGCAACGUUAAACGGGAAUAUUGCUGCGCCCCAUUGUAGAUGCAUUUCCUUUCUGAGAACCUUGAUCUCUGGACCCACAGAAUUUAAUCUGCAAGGACAAGUUUCCCAAGAAUGGAUCACUGACACCACGUGGGAGACAGCGGGAACUGAGUGCUAUGUUUGGGACCGUUCUCCAGCCUCCCAGAAAUGUAAAGUUGGAUUUUCUAAUAACUUCUAAUCAUGGAAAUCACAUACCCACUAUGUGCUAGACACUAUUGUAGGUACUGGAGAAUGAGAAUAAGCAGCCCUGCCCUCAAGGAGCCUUUUUUCUGGUGUUAGCACAGUGCAUAAGGUGGUGCCUUAAAGACCGACCUAUGACAUGGCGUGGCUGUCCUGAUGACUUGCCUAUUUUACGUCUGACCCAUGCUAGGUUCUAACUGGAACGACGCUGUCCUUUUCUGACCAGCAUCCUCGUACAGCUCUGCAGCAGUUACAGGGGAGGUUCUGCAGAGACACAGCACAAGGCAGAGAGGUUCAAGGGCCUCCUGCCGCUUUUCCCUGGUGUGGGGUUUCAUAGCCAUCCUCAGAGGCGGGGGCGGGUGGCCGUCACUGCUCUGCAGGUAACUCUUCCUCAGUUCUUCAGAAACGGAACCUGGACAGCUCCCCAUACAGGGCCAAUCGUUCAUUUGUUAAUAAGCAGAAACGACCCUUUCUUUAAGUGUUGCUCACAUCGCCUCCAGGAGAAAUUGUGUGAUUGUGAACAUUCUAGUGGGCUCGUUGCCUUUAUUUGUGGCUCCUGGGUGACUUUGUCAGAUUGUAAUUGCGUUGCGCUUAACUUCCCUAUUGGUGAUCUGUGUGAAAGUGUGUUCUGACCUUGGGUUUUCUCCUCUCAGAUUUUAAAAAUAAAAACAGGCCAUGCUUUGUGCUUUUCAGAGGAGAAACUAUAAAAUACAUUUAUGUUCUCUAUAUUACAGGAUAUUAUUGUUGUAUACGCUGAGCUGCAUUCUCUCAAGGCCUAUGUAAUAGCUUGUUUUAAAGAGGUACCUUUGCAAACCAUUUGGGUUUUCACUAUGCAAGGAUCAAUUGAAUAUUCCCCAGAUUCGAUGCAAUAGAUAAGAGAAGGGGACCAGCGUAAUUUGAAUGUCUGCAAAACUAAGGAUUUCAGUUCGUUUAAUUCUCAAAACAACUUAUUGAAGUAGAAACAAUUAUCCUCAUUUUACUGAUAAGGAAAGUAAAAAUUAGGUCUUACAGGUCAGGCUAUGACUGCAAUUGCCUUAGGGAGAGUGUUGAAGUCUAGCCAUCUCUUUCACAAGAGUUUUUUCUACUCUACCAUGCUGUCUUUCUUGCCCUGAGUCAAAUAUCAGCUGGAAAAUGCCUGGGAUAUGUAAAAUUUAUACUGGUUUAUUAGAAUAAUUUUUCACAG